AAAUUCUUACGAGAAAGGAGUAGCGAUCCGCUCGGCCCUGAGUCUUGCGCUGCUACCGUGAGGGACUCAGCGAAGCGUAGACAGGGGGAUAGGCGGGGUGGGCGAUCGAGCUUCGAAAAGAUGCAAUCCGGACGCCGACGUCUUUGUAAUGGGCGGAAGGCAACAUGAACAGGCGCGCUAGCGCGAGCUCCUGUUCGGUCCGGCGUAGUCGAAGACCC
rfam:Acidobacteria bacterium 13_2_20CM_56_17 13_2_20cm_scaffold_61645, whole genome shotgun sequence.